GGAAGUGAGUGAUGAGCUUCACAAACUGAGGUAGAUGAAGGGAGUGUAUCUGGAGGGGUUGAACAGGGAGGAAUCGGGACAAUUAGAGAAGUGGGACUGAGCCUCUUGAUCAAGACUGAGGGGGAGUGAGCAUCGAACGAGAUCAACAAACUGAGGAGAAAGGUUCGCAUACACUCACUAGACCCACGUGUGCAGAAUAAUUUCGUAUGCUGUGAACAUUACAUAACGUUAAAGUAUAUCUUCAAGCUG